AGUGAACGCUGGCGGUAGGCCUAACACAUGCAAGUCGAACGGCAGCACAGUAAGAGCUUGCUCUUACGGGUGGCGAGUGGCGGAGGGGUGAGGAAUACAUCGGAAUCUACUUUUUCGGGGGGGAUAACGUAGGGAAGCUUACGCUAAUACCGCAUACGACCUACGGGUGAAAGCAGGGGAUCUUCGGACCUUGCGCGAUUGAAUGAGCCGAUGUCGGAUUAGCUAGUUGGCGGGGUAAGGGCCCACCAAGGCGACGAUCCGUAGCUGGUCUGAGAGGAUGAUCAGCCACACUGGAACUGAGACACGGUCCAGACUCCUACGGGAGGCAGCAGUGGGGAAUAUUGGACAAUGGGCGCAAGCCUGAUCCAGCCAUACCGCGUGGGUGAAGAAGGCCUUCGGGUUGUAAAGCCCUUUUGUUGGGAAAGAAAAGCAGCAGGUUAAUACCCCGCUGUUCUGACGGUACCCAAAGAAUAAGCACCGGCUAACUUCGUG
rnacentral:rRNA from 1 species